GAUAAACGCUGGCGGCGUGCUUAACACAUGCAAGUCGAACGAAGUUUUUCUUUCGGGAGGAACUUAGUGGCGGACGGGUGAGUAACGCGUGGGUAACCUGCCCUGUACAGGGGGACAACAGCUGGAAACGGCUGCUAAUACCGCAUAAGCCCUUAGCACUGCAUGGUGCAUAGGGAAAAGGAGCAAUCCGGUACAGGAUGGACCCGCGUCUGAUUAGCCAGUUGGCAGGGUAACGGCCUACCAAAGCGACGAUCAGUAGCCGAUCUGAGAGGAUGUACGGCCACAUUGGGACUGAGACACGGCCCAGACUCCUACGGGAGGCAGCAGUGGGGAAUAUUGCACAAUGGAGGAAACUCUGAUGCAGCGACGCCGCGUGAGUGAAGAAGUAUUUCGGUAUGUAAAGCUCUAUCAGCAGGAAAGAAAAUGACGGUACCGGACUAAGAAGCACCGGCUAAAUACGU
rnacentral:rRNA from 1 species